rnacentral:rRNA from 1 species
CCUACGGGUGGCAGCAGUGGGGAAUAUUUCACAAUGGGCGAAAGCCUGAUGCAGCAACGCCGCGUGAGCGAUGAAGGCCUUCGGGUCGUAAAGCUCUGUCCUCAAGGAAGAUGAUGACGGUACUUGAGGAGGAAGCCGCGGCUAACUACGUGCCAGCAGCCGCGGUAAUACGUCGGGGGCUAGGGUUAUCCGGAUUUACUGGGCGUAAGGGGUGCGAAGGGGGUUUCUUAAGUCAGAGGUGAAAGGCUAGGGCUCAACCGUAGUAAGCCUUUGAAAAUGGGGAACUUGAGUGCAGGAGAGGAGAGUGGAAUUCCUAGUGUAGCGGUGAAAUGCGUAGAUAUUAGGAGGAACACCAGUUGCGAAGGCGGCUCUCUGGACUGUAACUGACACUGAGGCACGAAAGCGUGGGGAGCAAACAGGAUUAGAUACCCGGGUAGUC